CAACAACGGAUCUCUUGGUUCUGGCAUCGAUGAAGAACGCAGCGAAAUGCGAUAAGUAAUGUGAAUUGCAGAAUUCAGUGAAUCAUCGAAUCUUUGAACGCACAUUGCGCCCCUUGGUAUUCCGAGGGGCAUGCCUGUUCGAGCGUCAUUA
rnacentral:rRNA from 1 species